rnacentral:rRNA from 1 species
GUCGGGUUGGCUGGGCUGGGGUUGGCGAAACAGAGGGGCGGCAGCGCAGAGACGGGUGUGGUGUGUGGAAGGAGGGAAGGGGAGCGAGAAGGGCGAAGGGCUCCGGAGGGAGGCGGCGGGGCGGCUGUGUGCCCGGGGUGUUACCGGCGGUGGCGGGCGCGGGCGAAGCAGGUGUUGGCGUCGGCGGCGGCGCGCCGGCUGCUCAGGAGGCUGCUCGUCGUCCUGCGGAGGAGGAGCAGGAGGAGACUGCUGCUGCCGCCGCUGCUCCUUCUCCUCCUCUACCUCCAGCUCCCAAGGCUUCUCCUCCUCCGCCAGCGGCUGCUCGGUCGCCGGUCCCUCGGGGGGCGUCGUCGCCCCUCCCCGCCGUCCUUCCCGGGCUAAUGGUAGUCGGAGUUCUUUCAGACGUUCCACACGUUCUUCUGCCCCGUACUCCGUCCCAAGUUCCCCCGCCACAUGUAGCUAACGGGGUACUUCGGAACGAAGGAUACGUUCUACGGUCCAGGACUAUAGACAUUGAUACAUACGAACAAACAAAGAUGAAACCCUAACCCCUCAUCUUCUUGAGUUGUCAUAACAUUAAACUCAACAGCUCAAUCUUUUACCGUCAUAUAGGGUCACUCUUCGCCCAUCAAGUCCUUGAGACAAAAUACUUAAUCAUGAAGGAACACAUGUACGAGUGUCCUCAAAUCAGAUUGACGAACAAGGUCUAUGAAUAUUUAUUUUCAAAGGUGAAAAUAAGUCCGUUCUCCCUAUGUUUAACAUACCAUAACUACUUGGCGGUGUAUGAUAAAAGAGUACAUAGACGUAUGUCCACAGAGUAUCGACAAAGGAAACUGACGAACUGUCAUAACUACAUAACGGUAAAUCAUGAACUUUCGAACUGUACCUACCUCUGAAAGGCUCAGUGACUAUGACACUACGAAAGAUGCAAACGCGAAACGUCCAGUAUGCUGGAACUGAACGGGUGUAUCCCAUCGCUACCUCGUACCACAGUAGGGUCGGGGAUCUUCCUUGUGUUUGUGAAGUGACCUAAUGCAGAAGGUCUCAGUUCACUUUCCGUUCUAGAGGUACCAAUUCGGAGCCAAAGAUCAUGGAUUGGUUAACCUCACACCAUUGUAUUUUAAAGUGGUUUCUGCACACUGGACGAACCUUAAAGUAGGUUGAUUCUUGUUACACGAAAAUAGUCCUCUGUUCUUUCCCGAUGAUCCGUAAACCCUAAUACAAUUCAACGUACUCUUCUAAUGAAUACUAAGACACGUGAGGACGUAAGACUUGUCAUACUUCAAGCUGUGGCGGUUACUACCUCACGAUAUGUGUCGAAGAAGACUACCCUGAUAGUCGUCGUGUCUGAAUCUGUGACCUUAACCAAGCGGGAACAAUUUAGAGUUGGGUCUACCAACCUCACCAGGUUCGUGAACCGCGUACUAUAUACCCUACCUGAAUUUGUGGCUCUUUCCAGAAGAAAACCACCGUCUAUCAAAACCCAAAGAAAUGAAUAACCUAUCUGCCAGCUUCCUUUCUUAGCCCGUUGGUUAAGAAUAUGUAUUUUUUCCAUCGUUCCAUUGACCGGAAGUAACGUUGGGACGUGUUGGACUUCAAGAAGACUCGUCGCCCUUACUAGUGAAACGGGCAUAAACCCUAUGUUCCUUUGAACUAGGGUUCAGGCGAGAACGGUCGGAACGAGUACCUGCCCAACAAUUAAGUCCUAUAAAAAGAGGUGCUUCACCCUUAUUCUAGUACUGUUGUACAGUCCUGUUAGCUUAAGCACAAACCCUAAUAUAAAAACCAUUAGACCUUAGGGGUUCAUCUCUUUAACAAGUGUCGGUACUAAAGUUAGCAGUGGACUGAGGGAAGUUUCGUCUCACCCUAGGUUUCCUAAUGAGUCUUUGUCAACGUCAAUAACCAGCAAUGUAUUCACUUUUGAUGUUACCCCAACGAGAUGUAGGGUAACUAAAGUAUCUGUGGUCGUGACCCUUCGAAGACCGGCUCCACUACCUGGGGCUGUAUUGGUGAUAGUCGGGUCACUUGUUCGAUGUAGGAGUUCUACUUUAGGAUCGAUGUCCUUCGAGUUCCAGGUAAAAGUAAACCUUUGGUUUCUCACUGUAGCUAGGGUGCCUCCUCUCCUGGUCGGUCUUCCAGUUCCUUAUACAUAUGCCCAGUCCAAGCGCCUUCUUUGGUUUACCGUUCGUGCUGUUGUCAUCACUACUGCUGAGCCUACCACCACCACCUUUCUCGUUCUUCCGCUUCUUCUGGGCGAAGUGAGUAUGCCGUUUCCCUUUCCCGUUUAGGUUUCGAACUACUAUCUACAUCAAUCACGUCGUCGAUAAAACCGUCUUUCUUGGAUAGCUGUCGGCGACGACCUCGAGUAAAACCCAUGGUAGAGGGCAGAAUCAGGAUCGAAUUGUGCGACUUCGGGACACCAUCAUAUGGUGCUAGUAGAAUUCGUUGUUUGCAAAAUCUCAAUCAAAACACAACGAAAACUUAGGACUACACGACUUCGGAACACCAUGAUACCGUCAUACGGUGUCAGUAGAAUUCGUUGUUUGUAAAUCUCAAUCCAUACACAACGAAAACUUAGGACUACACGAAAUCCUCAACUUUAUACACAUAUAUACGAGGAAUAUAGACG